rnacentral:rRNA from 1 species
UCGAGGGGCAGCGGGAUUGAAGCUUGCUUACGAAUUCGGCCGGCGACCGGCGCGACGGGUGAGUAACGCGUAUCCAACCUUCCGUACACUCAGGGAUAGCCUUUCGAAAGAAAGAUUAAUACCUGAUGGUAUCUUAAGCACACAUGUAAUUAAGAUUAAAGAUUUAUCGGUGUACGAUGGGGAUGCGUUCCAUUAGGUAGUAGGCGGGGUAACGGCCCACCUAGCCAACGAUGGAUAGGGGUUCUGAGAGGAAGGUCCCCCACAUUGGAACUGAGACACGGUCCAAACUCCUACGGGAGGCAGCAGUGAGGAAUAUUGGUCAAUGGACGAGAGUCUGAACCAGCCAAGUAGCGUGAAGGAUGAAGGUCCUACGGAUUGUAAACUUCUUUUAUAAGGGAAUAAACCCUCCCACGUGUGGGAGCUUGUAUGUACCUUAUGAAUAAGCAUCGGCUAACUCCGUG